UUGUAUAUUCUAAUUGUAAUUUUAUAUAUGUUAAUUUAAUUUAAAUUUUAAUUGGAGUAUACAAAUUUUUAAUAUUUUAUAAAAUUUUUCCAAAAAGAUUCAUAUUUAUAAAAUUUAAAUAUUUUCAAUGCAAUACAUAACAUCAAACAAAAAAGAAAUUAAUAAAGCAAUGUUUCUGGCAAAAAUAAGGUGAAUAUAUGUAUGAAAUUGUCUAUCACUACGUAUCGUUAUCAUUGUCGAGGUGGGGCUUCGAUAUCGAUGAGGGUACUCAGAACCAGAUUUUUCUAUCAGUUGGCUCAGGUAUAUAUAAAGCCCAACACGUAGUCAACUGUUUAUUAGUGUUCUGAUUAUUUUUUUUUUUCAUAUAACAGAUUCUUUAAUUUUUUGUUUCGUAUAAUUUCCACAAAGCAUCUUUGCGGUUUCAUGUGAGUGGAACAUUUGAAGAGUGAUAAAGAUCUUUAUUUAUUUAUAAAAUAGUUAUAAAAUUAGUUCUUUUGGAAAGCUUCCAAGUGUCGGUGAAAUAAAUUAGUGAGAUUUUGAAAUAAUUCUUUGAUAGAAAAUAAUAAUUAACUUUAUUGUGGAGUUCAGAUUCAUAAUUAAUUAUAAUAUAAUAAUAAAUAUUAUUGAUUAUAUUAAAAUUAUAUGGAAUAUCUUAAUAAUGAUACGAUGCCAUAUAACAAGUCUUUAGGUAAGCCGACCAAAAGAAGUUGAUUUCCUUCGUUGAAACCGCAUGGGCGUUGCAUGGACUGUGAUCUGCAUGACUUGCAGUUGGAAGUGAGGAUCUAGGCAGUGAGCAGCAGCGCUCUGAUAACUUGCCAGAUCUAACUCUUCCAGCUCAAGGUCUUGUUGAUUAUCAUCUCCCAAACGAAUUUUUCAUCAUAUAAAACUCAAAAAUAAAUAAUGUAUAAGAAAGGGAUUAUGGUUCAAGUGGAGAAGUGGUCUCUACGCUUUGAAUUAAAGUGAGAUUCAACUCCUCCAACUUACUCCUGAUCCCUAAUAUUCAUCGUUUUUUUUAUUUGUUUCUUCUAUCUGUAGAAAUAUCUUUUAGUUAGAAAUGUAUCAGUAAUAUAAGUGAAGAUAAGUGAAGCUUUCGUGGAGUCAUUCUAUUGGCGCUCCUUAAUACUUUGCUGGACAGACAUGUUGCAAUAGCGAUAAAAUCUUUUAAAAUCUUUCAAAAUGUUUAACUAUAUACAGUUGUGUGUGUGAUUAAAUUUUAUUUACUCAAUAAUGUAUUUUAUAUAAGAUAUUAUAAAUCUUUAUCAUUUUUACGAAAAUUAUUAUUAUUUAAUUUAUAAUAAUCGUAACUUUUAUUUUAUAUCAUUAUAAACUAAAUUUUUAUAAAUCGCAUUAAUAUUUGAAAUAAAUUUAUUUUUUACGUU